rnacentral:lncRNA from 1 species
CAAUUGCAUGCUGCCACUCCUCUGCUUAGCAUCCUUCCAGGGUUUCCCACAGCAUUCAGAGUAGUGCCCAAACUCGUAGCCAAGCUUCCAAGACAAUGAAGACCUGGUCCCUGCAGAUUUCUCUAGGCAAAUCUCAGGACUGUAUCCCCUUCACUUAUUAAUUUCCAGCCCCUCCUCUCUGCACAUUCACAUGCCAUGCUCUUAGUUCAAUCUGCCUUAUGGCCCAUAGCAUUCCUUUUACUGGGCUGCACUUCCCUUCUGCUCUUUGCAUGUUGUCCAAAUCCUCAUUUCUCAGGCCUCAGCCUUACCUUUUAAAGCCCUUCUCUAACAACAACUACAAAAUGGUGUUUCUAUCCCUUAACCUUAUGCUAAUAUCCCCUUCAGCUAUUUUGCCCUUUGAAUUUCUUUUCUUGUUUGUUGACUGUCUUCCCCACUGGACUGAAAGCUACUUAAAGCCUGGAGCCAUGUUGGUUUUCUUUACUGUUGUCACUUCAGCACCUGGAAUGAUGCCUGGCAAUGGAAGGCAUUCAAUAAAUAUCCAUUGAAUAGACAAGAGAAAAAGAAAAAGAAAAAGAAAAACAACAGCAGUCCUUCAAGCUACAACUCAGUAGGGAAAAUAAUAAAUAAAUAAAUAAAUAAAUAAAUAAAUAAACCUAGUAACACAUUAAAUGAAUAGUUUCCAUGUACUGACUAGUUAGUAUAUACCACACACAUAGUGUGCCCAACAUUUUAUUUUAUUGCCCACAAUUCUAUAAGCAAGAUAUUACUCUCCCUGUAUAUUUUUCUUUCCCUUUCUCCCUCCCUUUACUUUCUUUCUUCCUUCUUUCCUUCUUUUCUUUCUUUCUCUUUCUUUCUUUCUUUCCUUCCUUCUCUUCUCUUCUUCUUUCUUUUCUUUCUUUCCUUUUCUUCUUUCUUUCUUAAUUUCUUUCUCCUUUCUUUCUUUCUUCCUUCCUCCCUUUCUUUACUGCUUGCCUUCUUUCUUUCUUUCUUUCUUUCUUUCUUUCUUUCUUUCUUUCUUUCUUUCUUUCUUCUCUCUCUCUCUCUCUCUCUCUUCUUUUCACAAGAUUUCACUCUGUCACCCAGGCUGGAGUACAGUGGCACAAUUAUGAUCAUGGCUCACUGUAGCCAUGACUUCCCAAGCUCAAGCAAUCCCCCGACUUCAGCCUCCAGAGUAGCUAGGACUAUAGGCAUACACCACCAUGCCCAGCUAAUUUAAAAAAAAAAAAAGUUUCCCAAAGUGCUAGGAUUACAGGCAUGAGCCACAGUGUCUGGCCAAUAUUUUUCAAACUAACUAAGAUAAAGAAAACAUGGUACUUAUAUACAAUGGAGUACUAUUCAGCCAUAAAAAAGAAUGAGAUUCUGUCCUUUGCAACAUGGAUGGAACUGGUCAUCAUUAUGUUAAGUGAAAUAUGCCAGGCACAGAAGGAAAAACAUCACAUUUUCUCACUUAUUUGUGGGUUCUAAAAAUCAAAAACAAUUGAACUCAUGGAGAUAGAAAAUAGAACAAUGGUUACCAGAGGCUGUGAAAAAUAGUGGGGGAGUGGAGGGAAGGUAGGAAUGAUUAAUGCAUACAAAACAUACAUAGUUAGAAGAAUGAAUAACAGCUAGUAUUUGCUAGCACAACAGAGGGACUAUAGGCAAUAAUAAUUUAAUUGUACAUUUACAAUAACUGAAAGAGUAUAAUUAAUAUAAUUGUUUGAAACACAAAGGAUAAAUGAUUGAGGGGAUAGAUACACAAUUUUCCAUGCUGAUUAUUACAUAUUGCAUGCCUGUAUCCAAAUAUCUCAGGUACCCCAUAAAUAUAUAUAUCUACUAGGUACCCACAAAAACUUAAAAAAACAACUAUGAAAUGAUAAAUGAUAAAUGAUUGAGGGGAUAGAUACACAAUUUUCCAUGCUGAUUAUUAUAUAUUGCAUGACUGUAUCCAAAUGUCUCAGGUACCCCAUAAAUAUAUAUACCUACUAUGUACCCACAAAACCUUAAAAAACAAACAACUAAGAAACCAGAAGCUCAGACAAAAAAAAGUACCUUGGCCAAAGUCAUAGUCGGUAAGUGGUAGAACCAGGUGUUGGUUGUAGAAGGGUUUGAAUACCAUACUGAGAAUGAAGACUUUAUUUAAUUGACAUCUAGGAAGCACUGAGGGUGUUUUGAGCAAGGUAAAAUAAUUCUUAAAAUAUCUGAUUAGUAGGAGUAUUCAUGCCCUGAAUUAUAAUAGCCAAUUGGUAGUUUCACCUUUGAAACCUAAAUGGAGCUGAUAUUCAAUUUCUCUCUCAGGCUUUGCCCAAGGACUCAAUUUCUGAUUCUACUCCCUCAAUUAAAGAGAAUUGGGUUAACUUUUUGAAUGUAAAAUUCUCCUCUGACACACAAAUAAUCACAAGGACAAUUAAAGUGAUAAAAUGUCAGGUUAAAUGGGAAAGAAAGUCAAACAUAAUUUCUUCUGAGUGUUUAUAAUUAUUUUGUGGCAUAAAAUUGUGUUCUGUGCAAAAAUUCAGAAACUUUAAUUUUUAAGAGAGAAAAAUAGCAUAAUCACUAUACUCCCUUCCUAAAUGUGUUUUUAACAUAACACAUUAUAAUUUAUGCCACAUUUUUAAUAUGAAAUAAUUUUAAUGUGUCUGGCCUGGUUCAGUCCUGUUAAACAACAAAAAAGACUGCAAAAUGUAUUUCCCCAUGUGGCUAGAUACAUUCUAACGUCGUGAAGAAACACAUUAUGUAUAUAUGUUUUUCUAUAUUCUCAAUUAUAGAUAGAAAUCCAGGCACAAAGAGAUGUAUCUUUGGGCAACACGAUAAUUUGUGAAAAGGCUACACAGUUAAACAAGCAUUUUCCAAGAUUUGAAAAACUAAUGAGGGAGUGUGAAAGCACAAAGAAAUUAAAUUGUAAGCUGUAAGGACUGACUUGAAAAUAUUAAAGAGAGGUAUAAUUCACAUAUAGUUGUGUGACUCUUUUUCCUUAAAAAUCCAUUUUGAUCAUUUUCUUAUGUCAUUAAAUAUUAUUCAUGCUGUACAAUAAAUAUAUAAUACUUCAACAUGGGGCUAUGCCAUUAUUGCUUUAACAAAGCUUUCUUUUAUAUAGCAAAACUCCUUUUCAACUUUUAUUUUUUGCUUUUUCAGUUUCAAUAAUGUAAAAAAAAUUCCACUGGGAUGAAAAAAUAUUUUUUAUUAAUCAGCUUUAUUUAGCUAUAACUUGCUUAUGAUAUAAUACACACUUUUUAAGUUUUAUUUCAAGGAGUUUGAAUUAUAUAUAUACCCAUGCAACCAUGAUUAUAGUUAGAACUCAGAGUACUCCAAUCAGACAAGUGUCCCUUAGUGUCCCCCACUUCCCUGGCCUAGGGAACCAUUGAUCUGUCACUAAAUGACCUAUGCCUAUUCUAGAAUUUCCUGUCAGUGAAAUCACACAGUGUAUAUGCUUUUGGGUUUGGCUUUUCUCAUUCAGAAUAAUGACUUUGCUAUCCAUCCAUGUUGUUAUUGUAACAAGUUCAUUGUUGCUGAGUGGCAGAUUCACAAUUUGUUUAUUCUUUCUCCCUUUGGAAUAUUUGUGUUGCUUUAGGUUUGGGUUGUUUUGAAUAAAGCCACUAUGAACAUUCGCUU